AGAGUUUGAUCCUGGCUCAGGAUAAACGCUGGCGGCGCACAUAAGACAUGCAAGUCGAACGGACUUAAUCGAAAUAUUUAUAUUUUGAAGCGGUUAGUGGCGGACUGGUGAGUAACGCGUAAGGAACCUGCCUAUUAGAGGGGAAUAACAGUGAGAAAUCAUUGCUAAUACCGCAUAUGCCAUAGAUAUCACAUGAUAACAGUGGGAAAGGAGCAAUCCGCUAAUAGAUGGCCUUGCGUCUGAUUAGAUAGUUGGUGGGGUAACGGCCUACCAAGUCGACGAUCAGUAGCCGGACUGAGAGGUUGAACGGCCACAUUGGGACUGAGAUACGGCCCAGACUCCUACGGGAGGCAGCAGUCGGGAAUAUUGCGCAAUGGAGGAAACUCUGACGCAGUGACGCCGCGUAUAGGAAGAAGGUUUUCGGAUUGUAAACUAUUGUCGUUAGGGAAGAGAAAGGACAGUACCUAAGGAGGAAGCUCCGGCUAACUACGUGCCAGCAGCCGCGGUAAUACGUAGGGAGCGAGCGUUAUCCGGAAUUAUUGGGUGUAAAGGGUGCGUAGACGGGAGAACAAGUUAGUUGUGAAAUACCUCGGCUCAACUGAGGAACUGCAACUAAAACUGUACUUCUUGAGUGCAGGAGAGGUAAGUGGAAUUCCUAGUGUAGCGGUGAAAUGCGUAGAUAUUAGGAGGAACACCAGUGGCGAAGGCGACUUACUGGACUGUAACUGACGUUGAGGCACGAAAGUGUGGGGAGCAAACAGGAUUAGAUACCCUGGUAGUCCACACCGUAAACGAUGGAUACUAGGUGUAGGAGGUAUUAAGCCUUCUGUGCCGUCGCAAACGCAGUAAGUAUCCCACCUGGGGAGUACGGCCGCAAGGUUGAAACUCAAAGGAAUUGAC
rnacentral:rRNA from 1 species